UACGUAGGGCGCAAGCGUUGUCCGGAUUCAUUGGGCGUAAAGAGCACGCAGGCGGUUUGGCAAGUCGGGAUGUGAAAACCCGAAGCUCAACUUCGGGCCUGCAUCCGAAACUGCCCGACUAGAGGUAGGUAGGGGAGAUCGGAAUUCCUGGUGUAGCGGUGAAAUGCGCAGAUAUCAGGAGGAACACCGGUGGCGAAGGCGGGUCUCUGGGCAACAACGUGACG
rnacentral:rRNA from 1 species